CGAGACUCCAUGUCAUGUUCUAAGUCAUAGAGUCUGUAUUAGGAUAUUAAAAAUGUAAUUUUGUUUUUGUUGGAUCGAUCACGCAGAAGGUUGUUGUUUGGUGAUUGCGAUAACCUUCUUAUUUUUGUCUUUGGAUAAGCAUUGUAAAUUCUUUUUGUAUUUUGUCACGAAAUCGCCAAAGGGGGAGAUUGUUAAGGAUUUUAUAAGUUGGCGGAUUUCGUGAAGGGUUUGGAUAGAGUCUCGAAGAAUUAGAAGAUGAUGAUUGACGAAAAGAAUUGAAGUUUUGUGAUCAAAGACCCUUGAGAACUCAGGUAUGAUUAGAACCAAUUUAUGGUGAAAUUUUCAUUAUUAAAAGAUGUUUAGAAGACUUGUUUUUCUUUUCACUUAUUCAAAAGUUUUCUGGAAAAAUCAGGGGUCGGGGACCGGUCCUUGAUCAGAGGGACCGGACCCAUCAAGCUUCUCUGCGUAGAAGUUUUGGGAGACCGGUCUCUGGUCUUGAGGACCGGUCCCCGUAAGUGGUUUUCCUUGUUGCGCAGGGAGGGACCGGUCUCUAAAUUGAGGACCGGUUCCCGUACGCAUAUUUUGACAUCUACGCAGCGUAAGACCGGACCUCACCUUGGAGGACCGGUCCCCCAAGGACCGGUCUCCUCGAGAGGACCGGACCCUGAGACCGUCGUCUGUUUUUAAAAUUGAGUUUUUGGAAUCCUAGUCUAUCUAGAAGUCUUCUAAACCUAUAAAUAUGAUAUGAGGAUCUCCAUAUGACGUGAGUUGAGCAAGAUAAUCUUUUAGAAACCCUAACGGCUUGAUUUGAGUUUUUGAUCCAUGUUUCUCAAGAUCAAGUUUUAGAUCACCG
rnacentral:lncRNA from 1 species